rnacentral:lncRNA from 1 species
CAUGAUCGCGAGCGCUCGCGCGCCCUUCGAUCUCUCUCCGAUACGCUGCGGAAUUUAAAGCGACGUACGGAGCUCGACCGCGCGCGAGAAUGUCUCGUUGCUCGACGGAUGAAAAUACCGUUCGCCGAUCGUCACGCUUGACCACCAAGUUCGCGUCGCAAUUAACAAAACAUAUGCGCGGCGAAAUGAGUUCACACGUGAAUUACUAUUAUUACAAAGUUCACAGAGACUGGUUUUUCACAAAGGGGUGACGUCGCGGUGACGUUGAGGAAGAAUGUACGACUAGAAUGGACCUCGCAGUUGAGAUCCUUAUGGACGAUCGUGGAAUCUCGAUCUCUGACUAGCUGAACACAGACUGUUGACCGUUAUGCUCGCGUAAUAUUCGAUGUGGUGCGCGGAAUGUAGUAUAGUGGUGGCUUCGCUCUUCGAUCGAAGCAUUGUUUCGAUCAAUCUCGCCCGUUAAUCUCUUUCCCAAAGCGACGACGGCUUCUCAUUGUGCGCAUUUCACGUUUCAGCGGGCGAGGCCUCCCCGAUCGACGGGGCCUUACGUAAUCGAAAAUGGGGAAAUCGCUGCGUGAAGGAACGAUAGCAAUUGCCUCCGCGUGCGUUUGCGGAAUCCCAUGGUUUCUCCCUUUUGUUUAUUAUGACGCGUGUGAAUGAUAUCGGCCGUUGUCGGCCGCGAUUACUUUCCGGAUCGACCAAUUAAUCUUCGCGCGCUCCAUGAAUGUUACGUCAGUAACAAACCGACAUAAAGAACGUCGAAUUUCUUCGUUAACUAUCGAGAAGCAGUCCGUGGACCCGCCGCGGCGUGCUCGUCGAUGGACCAGACUUCACUCCGAUCGACCCGGCGCUUGACCGAUCAUCAUCCUUUGCGCAACGGUAUCGUGGAGAAUCGUUGCGUAAGCGCGUGCCACGGCCUUGCACUCGCGAACAAAGUCCUUGGCGCCGAACGCAAACGGCAGCUUGCGAUCAGGAAGAGGAUUCCCUGUCAAUUUCCUCACCGCACUUUUAUUCCGAGAAUUCUUCUAAUCCUUGCAAUUUUUUUUUUUCUUUUUUAGAAUCAAUGGAAUUUAGCGUCGCUGUUUCUCUGACGUUUCUCGCCCAGUCGCUCUCACGUUUCCGAAAUUCGUUUGCUGCUCGUGUGAAGUAGCCUCCUUUCAACCCCCGAUUGUAAGAACCACCCCGUGGCGAGGUGACGCCUGGUGGCGGAAUAAGGAACGAUGGAAUGAACGAGUGGAGAAAAGGAUAAAUGAAGUCAUGUACAAUAAUAUGCACUGAAUGUACAGAUCGCCUUUCCAGAUAUUGACACAAGUCGACGGGGGUGAGCACAGAGCGGAGCAGCUAGGACCGUACUUUUAAGCACGAGAGUGGGGGUUCUGGAUCAAUGCCGAGGCCACGCCUCCUUCGUCUUACAUCUUGCACCCCGUGCUUCCCCCCAAGCACCGUGAGUACCUUCCUUUCCUUUUGCUUUUCCGUCCUCUUCCCUAUCUUCAUACCCCGCGGAAAAUCCGCCCCAGGCGUACAGAUAUAUUUGGGGAUUAAAAACUAUACGAUGUGUAUAAACUUUGUGUUCAUAAUACGCAUUGAUAUAGCAUGAUAGAAAAGAACAUGUAUAUUAGUGGCUCCUAAUUCAUAUUUAAA